UUGCCGGCUCUCAUUAAUCAGAGCUCAAACUGGGCAGAACUCAGGGUCCAGGCGGGUGGCAGGCAAGUGGCUGCCACGCUGACCACGGCCGGCAUCAAAGUGACAGCACCACUGAGUCCUGGCCCUCAGCGGGAGACCGGGGCUUUGGUGAGAGAUCCGGAGACGCAGACACACGCCGGAGAGCAGCCGUGGACAGGUCACUGCGGGAGGCUGCAGGCCCCGGACAUCAUUAGCUCCUGCUCGUGCCAUGGCCCCCCUCUCCGCAGGCCUCCCCCAGCCAAGGAGGAAGCGCAGGCUGUCAGCCCGGGGAUCUCACGCAGGAUAACCCAGUGCUCCACUCCCGCCAACCCUGGCACCCCACAGUGCGCCUGCCAGGGGCCGUGGGCGUCCCCGCAGCUGCGUGCUGCUGCCCUAGGGCCCCACCCACGGCCCAGCUCCAGGCAGCGGCUCUGCUGCCAUCAGCAGCGCCCUCCUCAGCUGCCCAGAGUCACAAAGAUUUUGGAAAUUCACCACCGAGUCUUGGACUCAGUUCAGCUGGCUCAGAGCCCUCACUGCUUGGCACACCUGCCCUGGGGACCCUGGGCCUGUGCCCAGCUCCGCCUCCCCCACCGGGGCCUGGGGACCUCAGCACCGCCAUGGCCCUGGUGGCCGCAGGCCCCACGCUUCCGGAAUCCGAGCGCUCAGUUCACUGAGGCUUCAUCGCCGCACCUCACCUCGUGCCAUCCACUGCCGCUCCCUAAAACAGUACUUUACUCUCCAGAGUCCAGCUGCCCAGGAGACAGGGCUGUACCUGAGAAAUCAACAAGGACAAAGAAAUCCGUGUUUUCAAAGAACUUACCUUUCAACAGCUGGAAGUCAAAGUUUGCACGGAGGCCCACGCUGUCGCACGCUAUUAUCCAACACUAUCCCGCGCUGUCCCAUGUUAUCCCACGUUAUCCCGUGCUGUCUGGCACAGUCCUGAGCCAUCCCGUGCAGUCCCCCAUUGUCCUGCACUGUCCCACAUUUCCGACUCUAUCCCAUGCUGCUCCACACUGUCCGAUGCUAUCCCACAGUGCCCCACAUUAUCCCAUGCUAUCCUGUGUGGUCCCAUGUUAUCCCAUGCUGUCCCACGCUGCCCAACUUCCGAUCCAGCUCUCUGCUGUGGCCUGGGAAAGCAGUGGAAGAUGGCCCAAGUCCUCGGGCCCCUGCACCUGCGUGGGAGACCUGGAGGAAGCUCCUGGCUCCUGGCUUUGCAUCGGCCCAGCUCCAACAGUUGUGGCCAUUUGGAGAGUGAGCGGAUGGAAGACCUUUCUCUCUGUCUCUCUGUAA
rnacentral:lncRNA from 1 species